AUGUCCCUCUGCAUCGGUGAAAAUCCGAUUUUUCCCCCUCCGGAUCUUCGAUCUGCAGCGGCCGUGCUCAAUCUGCGGCGAGCUCCGACAUGUUCCUCCAUCCGCUCUAGGACUCCACCACCAAGCACACCAACCUCAAGGCAUAUGAUGUGCACCCUUGGUCGUCCGGUCCGACAAACUGCUAACGAAACAACGCCCAACGUCGUGAGUGUGCUCACGUUCUGCAAUCAAGCAACCACCCUCCUCUGUUCUCCUCUAGCAGCAGCAAAAGAGAGUGCAGAGGAGCAGCAGCAGCAGCAACAACAACACGGGCACGGGAGAAGCAGGCGACAGGGGAGAAUUACGGGAGACAACAGAGCUCCACCAGCAGGAGCUCGAGGAGAAGCAACAGUGGGAGCCCGGGAAGAAGCGGCAACCGGAGCUCAAGGAGAAGCAACAGCGGGAGCUCGAGGACGCGCGGGAGAGCAGUUCUGGAUAGCGGCGGCAGACCAGUUCUGGGCGGAAGCGCAGAUCUUGGCGGCGGCGCAGGUAUGGGCGGCGACGACAGAGCAGUUGGGCGGCAACGCAAGUCUGGGCGGCGGGAGGGGAUCGAGGCGGCGGAGGCGACGCCCCUAG
rnacentral:rRNA from 1 species